rnacentral:lncRNA from 1 species
CCUUGACUCACUUAAACCUCAAUAUCUCUCAGUUCAACCGUUAGAUCAAUCUCAAAUUCAUAAUAUGUAUUUAACACAACUAUAACCAUGAAACCAAAAAAAAUCACCCGUAGAUCUACAACAAAACUCUCGAAAUCACUCAAAACAUAAAUCCUAUUUUAUUUCAUAAAACCCAAGUCAUCCAAAAAAAACUCAACUUUGCAAAGCUCUU